GUUGUAUGGUUAAGUGACUAAGCGUACACGGUGGAUGCCUUGGCAGUCAGAGGCGAUGAAGGACGUAUUAACUUGCGAUAAGCCCAGAUUAGGUAGUAAAAACCUGUGAGUCUGGGAUUUCCGAAUGGGGAAACCCACUUACAUAAGUAAGUAUCGCUGCGUGAAUACAUAGCGCAGUGAGGCGAACCGGGGGAACUGAAACAUCUAAGUACCCCGAGGAAAAGAAAUCAACCGAGAUUCCGAAAGUAGCGGCGAGCGAAAUUGGACUAGCCCUUAAGCUUUUAAUGAGACAGGUGAAGGCUCUGGAAAGUGCCGCGAUACAGGGUGAUAGCCCCGUAACCGACAUCUCAUCAUCAGUGAAAUCGAGUAGGGCGGGACACGUGUUAUCCUGUCUGAAUAUGGGGGGACCAUCCUCCAAGGCUAAAUACUACUGACUGACCGAUAGUGAACCAGUACCGUGAGGGAAAGGCGAAAAGAACCCCUGUGAGGGGAGUGAAAUAGAACCUGAAACCGUGUACGUACAAGCAGUAGGAGCACCCUCGUGGUGUGACUGCGUACCUUUUGUAUAAUGGGUCAGCGACUUAUAUUCAGUAGCAAGGUUAACCAUCUAGGGGAGCCGUAGAGAAAUCGAGUCUUAACUGGGCGUCGAGUUGCUGGAUAUAGACCCGAAACCAGGUGAUCUAGCCAUGGGCAGGUUGAAGGU
rnacentral:rRNA from 1 species